rnacentral:rRNA from 1 species
GAUAACCUGCCGUAUACAGGGGGAUAACACUUAGAAAUAGGUGCUAAUACCGCAUAAGCGCACGGUUCCGCAUGGAACAGUGUGAAAAACUCCGGUGGUAUACGAUGGAUCCGCGUCUGAUUAGCCAGUUGGCGGGGUAACGGCCCACCAAAGCGACGAUCAGUAGCCGGCCUGAGAGGGUGAACGGCCACAUUGGGACUGAGACACGGCCCAAACUCCUACGGGAGGCAGCAGUGGGGAAUAUUGCACAAUGGGGGAAACCCUGAUGCAGCGACGCCGCGUGAGUGAAGAAGUAUCUCGGUACGUAAAGCUCUAUCAGCAGGGAAGAAAAUGACGGUACCUGACUAAGAAGCCCCGGCUAACUACGUGCCAGCAGCCGCGGUAAUACGUAGGGGGCAAGCGUUAUCCGGAUUUACUGGGUGUAAAGGGAGCGUAGACGGCAGCGCAAGUCUGGAGUGAAAUGCCGGGGCCCAACCCCGGAACUGCUUUGGAAACUGUGCAGCUCGAGUGCAGGAGAGGUAAGCGGAAUUCCUAGUGUAGCGGUGAAAUGCGUAGAUAUUAGGAGGAACACCAGUGGCGAAGGCGGCUUACUGGACUGUAACUGACGUUGAGGCUCGAAAGCGUGGGGAGCAAACAGGAUUAGAUACCCUGGUAGUCCACGCCGUAAACGAUGGUCACUAGGUGU